CUGGCUCAGGAUGAACGCUAGCUACAGGCUUAACACAUGCAAGUCGAGGGGCAGCAUUUUAGUUUGCUUGCAAACUGAAGAUGGCGACCGGCGCACGGGUGAGUAACACGUAUCCAACCUGCCGAUAACUCCGGAAUAGCCUUUCGAAAGAAAGAUUAAUACCGGAUGGCAUACGAAUAUCGCAUGAUAUUUUUAUUAAAGAAUUUCGGUUAUCGAUGGGGAUGCGUUCCAUUAGUUUGUUGGCGGGGUAACGGCCCACCAAGACUACGAUGGAUAGGGGUUCUGAGAGGAAGGUCCCCCACAUUGGAACUGAGACACGGUCCAAACUCCUACGGGAGGCAGCAGUGAGGAAUAUUGGUCAAUGGGCGAGAGCCUGAACCAGCCAAGUAGCGUGAAGGAUGAAGGCUCUAUGGGUCGUAAACUUCUUUUAUAUGGGAAUAAAGUUUUCCACGUGUGGAAUUUUGUAUGUACCAUAUGAAUAAGGAUCGGCUAACUCCGUGCCAGCAGCCGCGGUAAUACGGAGGAUCCGAGCGUUAUCCGGAUUUAUUGGGUUUAAAGGGAGCGUAGGUGGAUUGUUAAGUCAGUUGUGAAAGUUUGCGGCUCAACCGUAAAAUUGCAGUUGAAACUGGCAGUCUUGAGUACAGUAGAGGUGGGCGGAAUUCGUGGUGUAGCGGUGAAAUGCUUAGAUAUCACGAAGAACUCCGAUUGCGAAGGCAGCUCACUAGACUGUGACUGACACUGAUGCUCGAAAGUGUGGGUAUCAAACAGGAUUAGAUACCCUGGUAGUCCACACAGUAAACGAUGAAUACUCGCUGUUUGCGAUAUACAGUAAGCGGCCAAGCGAAAGCAUUAAGUAUUCCCCCUGGGGAGUACGCCGGCAACGGUGAAAAUCAAAGGAAUUGACGGGGGCCCGCACAAGCGGAGGAACAUGUGGUUUAAUUCGAUGAUACGCGAGGAACCUUACCCGGGCUUAAAUUGCAACAGAAUAUAUUGGAAACAGUAUAGCCGUAAGGCUGUUGUGAAGGUGCUGCAUGGUUGUCGUCAGCUCGUGCCGUGAGGUGUCGGCUUAAGUGCCAUAACGAGCGCAACCCUUAUCUUUAGUUACUAACAGGUUAUGCUGAGGACUCUAGUGAGACUGCCGUCGUAAGAUGUGAGGAAGGUGGGGAUGACGUCAAAUCAGCACGGCCCUUACGUCCGGGGCUACACACGUGUUACAAUGGGGGGUACAGAAGGCCGCUACCUGGUGACAGGAUGCUAAUCCCAAAAACCUCUCUCAGUUCGGAUCGAAGUCUGCAACCCGACUUCGUGAAGCUGGAUUCGCUAGUAAUCGCGCAUCAGCCAUGGCGCGGUGAAUA
rnacentral:rRNA from 1 species